rnacentral:rRNA from 1 species
AGGCUUUGAUCCUGGCUCAGGAUGAACGCUGGCGGUAUGCUUAACACAUGCAAGUCGAACGGGCUCUUCGGAGCUAGUGGCGGACGGGUGAGUAACGCGUAGGAAUCUGCCCUUAGGACGGGGACAACAGCUGGAAACGGCUGCUAAUACCGGAUAUGCCGAAAGGUGAAACAGUUAAUUCUGCCUAGGGAUGAGCCUGCGUCAGAUUAGGUAGUUGGUGAGGUAAAGGCUCACCAAGCCAUUGAUCUGUAGCUGGUCUGAGAGGAUGAUCAGCCACACUGGAACUGAGACACGGUCCAGACUCCUACGGGAGGCAGCAGUGGGGAAUUUUCCGCAAUGGGCGAAAGCCUGACGGAGCAAUACCGCGUGAGGGAAGAAGGCUCUUGGGUUGUAAACCUCUUUUCUCAGGGAAGAAUAAAUGACGGUACCUGAGGAAUAAGCAUCGGCUAACAUCCGU